UACGUAGGGUGCAAGCGUUGUCCGGAAUUAUUGGGCGUAAAGAGCUUGUAGGCGGUUUGUCGCGUCUGCUGUGAAAUUUCGGGGCUCAACCCCGAACUUGCAGUGGGUACGGGCAGACUAGAGUGUGGUAGGGGAGACUGGAAUUCCUGGUGUAGCGGUGAAAUGCGUAGAUAUCGGGAGGAACACCAGUGGCGAAGGCGACUACCUGGCCUGUUUCUUGACGCUGAGGCGCGAAAGCUAGGGGAGCAAACGGG
rnacentral:rRNA from 1 species